rnacentral:lncRNA from 1 species
AAGACAUUCACUACACCAGAGGAGACAAAGGAAGCACGUUGCUGUUAUUGCUGUUCAUGGCCUUCUUCCAACAGUAAGGGAAGCUAGUUUGAAGAUAAACUGUACAAAGGAAAGUAAAACAAGAGAAGUGCAGCGAAAUGGUGCCGGAGCCGUGAUGCAGCUACAACCUAGAGUUCUCACAAUCUCUUAAUUUCCUGCUGUCGGCGAUAAAUGUGAUCAUUUUGGCCGAUUUGGUUCAGUUUUUCUGUUCCGUGAAGCUGAAAGCAUCCUGACACAGUUAUGGCUUCCACAACUCAGGAUCAGAUUCAUUGGUAGCUGGACAGUACUGGACCCAUCACAAUUUCAAUACUGGGAAGAGAAAAGCCAGUCCUCUGGGGAAAGAUGAAGCACUGGACCUACAAACUAACUACUUUCAACCCCUGGAUGAAUCUAGGAGCAGAUUAGUCCCGAUAUCAAGGCAAUGUCAAGAGUGAAGGGGAGGAUCAAGAUUUUUUUUGAGUGAUUGUUUCCUGGAAGGUUUUGGAAUCACUGGACCCACAUAAUUAAGGACAUGAUCAAGAGUAUCU